rnacentral:piRNA from 1 species
UACACGGUGGCCACUGAAGCUUUUGUCUCU